rnacentral:piRNA from 1 species
UUGGGUACCUUCCGAGCGCAAGAUGAUAA